rnacentral:rRNA from 1 species
UACGAACGUUGGCGGCGUGCUUAAUACAUGCAAGUCAACUGAAGCAGUGGUAGCAAUAUCGCUGUGGAGGUGGCGCACGGGUGAGUAACACGUAGGUAAUCUGCCUUCAGGUCUGGCAUAACUCCGGGAAACCGGGGCUAAUAGCAGAUGAUGCAGCGGCUCGACAUCGAGACAGUUGUUAAAGCUAUGGCGCCUGAAGAUGAGCCUGCGUCUGAUUAGCUAGUUGGCGGGGUAACGGCCCACCAAGGCAACGAUCAGUAGCUGGUCUGAGAGGAUGAUCAGACACACUGGAACUGAGACACGGUCCAGACUCCUACGGGAGGCAGCAGUAAGGAAUAUUGCUCAAUGGGAGAAAUCCUGAAGCAGCAACGCCGCGUGAGGGACGAAGGGCUUUUGCUUGUAAACCUCUGUAGUGAGAGAAAAAAAUCACAAUCUUUGGGACAUGAUGGUAUCUCAAAAGUAAGCCCCGGCUAACUACGUG